UUAUGGAGGUCAGGCAGGUCAACCAGCUGGGUGUUUUUUCGUGCUGCUGAACUGUUUAACUCCACUCUGUGCAGGGCUUCCAUACAUCAAGUGAGCAUCACGAAUCAGCACCCAUGCCUAGUCCACCUGCUGUGUUCCCUCAAGAUGCCAGAGGCUGGGAAAGUUAGUUAUAUUUGAAAACGGUAAAGGGAUGACCUCCAUUUGCCGGAAAUGUCUCUACAAGGACAAACCAUUUUGUAAAGCAGAACAGAAUAUUGCAAUGUUUGUAAAAAGCUGGGAAGUUUUUCACAUUUUAGAUAAGUAAGCCCAAACUUUGUUUUUAGAUCCAAUGAUCCAGAUUUACACACUCAGAAUAAGCCCAAUGAUCUUGUCGAUGGGGCGUUAAAACCCCCAUCGACCCUUCAAGGAGAAGCAAGUAUAGCCAAUGAAUGA